rnacentral:rRNA from 1 species
CAAAAGCUUGGUCCUGACUUUACCAUCAAUUCUGAUCAAAUUUAUACAUGCAAGUAUCCGCACCCCUGUGAGAAUGCCCUGCAUUUUUCCUACCGAAGAAAAGGAGCGGGAAUUAGGCACACCCCAAAGUAGCCCAUGAUUCCUUGCUUAGCCACACCCCCAAGGGAACUCAGCAGUAAUAAACAUUAAGCCAUGAGUGAAAACUUGACUUAGUUAAGAUCAAGAGGGCCGGUAAAACUCGUGCCAGCCACCGCGGUUAUACGAGAGGCCCAAGUUGAUGGAUGCCGGCGUAAAAUGUGGUUAAUUUACAGUAUUACACUAAAGCGAAACACCUUCUAAGCUGUUAUAUGCUUUCGAAGGCAGGAGCCCCUCUUACGAAAGUAGCUUUAAACGAUAUGACCCCACGAAAGCUAGGGAACAAACUGGGAUUAGAUACCCCACUAUGCCUAGCCGUAAACAAAAGUGACCAACACACACCACCUCGCUUGCCAGGGAACUACGAGCCCCAGCUUGAAACCCAAAGGACUUGGCGGUGCUUUAGACCCCC